UUCUUUCUUUGCUGUUACAACUUACAAUUAUGCCUCUCACUCUCACUCUUUCGCAAUUCUGAACCUUUUAGCUCAUCACUUUGUUGCAUUAAAACAUAGAGGAAGAGUUUAAGUCAAUCUGCCUUCGAACAAAGGCAAGAGCCACCCUCGAUGCAGUUGAGGAAGUCAUAGAAGAAAGAGAUCUCGAUCCCUUAUUUUCAGACAGGUAU